rnacentral:rRNA from 1 species
GACGAACGCUGGCGGCGUGCCUAAUACAUGCAAGUAGAACGCUGAAGGAGGAGCUUGCUCUUCUGGAUGAGUUGCGAACGGGUGAGUAACGCGUAUGUAACCUGCCUGGUAGCGUGGGAUAACUAUUGGAAACGAUAGCUAAUACCGCAUAACAGUAGAUGUUGCGUGACAUUUACUUAAAAGUUGCACUUUCAUCACUACAAGGUGGAGCUGGGUGGUUUUAUCUAGUGGGGGGGUAAACGGCACACCAAGGAGGCGAUCAAUAUCGGCCUUGAGAGGGGAUUGGCCAACCUGGGACUGGGACAACGCCCAGACUCCUACGGGAGGCAGCAGUAGGGAAUCUUCGGCAAUGGACGGAAGUCUGACCGCGCAACGCCGCGGGAGUGAAGAAGGGUUUCGGAUCGGAAAGCUCUGUUGUAAGGGAAGGACGAGUGUGAGAGUGGAAAGUUCACGCUGUGACGGUAUCUUACCAGAAAGGGACGGCUAACUACGUG